rnacentral:rRNA from 1 species
CAAAAUCCCCGGGCUCAACCUGGGAAUAGCACGUGGAUACUGUUAAGCUUGAUUUCAAAAGAGGAUGGCGGAAUUCCGGGUGUAGGGGUGAAAAUGCGUAGAAAUNCGGAGGAACACCGAUGGCGAAGGCAGCCAUCUGGAUUGANACUGACGCUGAGGGGCGAAAGCGUGGGGAGCAAACAGGAUUAGAUACCCUGGUAGUCCA